GACGAACGCUGGCGGCGUGCUUAACACAUGCAAGUCGAACGGUGACCCAGGGCUUGCCCUGGUGAUCAGUGGCGAACGGUGAGUAACACGUGGGCAACCUGCCCCUGACUUCGGGAUAACUCCUCGAAAGAGGAGCUAAUACCGGAUACGACCACUUCGGACAUCCGAUGGUGGUGGAAAGUUUUUCGGCAGGGAUGGGGCCCGCGGGCCUAUCAGCUAGUUGGUGGGGUAAUGGCCUACCAAGGCGACGACGGGUAGCCGGCCUGAGAGGGCGACCGGCCACACUGGGACUGAGACACGGCCCAGACUCCUACGGGAGGCAGCAGUGGGGAAUAUUGCGCAAUGGGCGAAAGCCUGACGCAGCGACGCCGCGUGAGGGAUGAAGGCCUGGUUGUAAACCUCUUUCAGCAGGGACGAAGCGAAAGUGACGGUACCUGCAGAAGAAGCACCGGCUAAC
rnacentral:rRNA from 1 species